CCUAUGGGUGGCAGCAGUGGGGAAUAUUGGGCAAUGGAGGCAACUCUGACCCAGCAACGCCGCGUGAAUGAUGAAGGUCUUCGGAUUGUAAAGUUCUGUGAUGGGGGAUGAACACAAUGACGGUACCCCAAUAGCAAGCCACGGCUAACUACGUGCCAGCAGCCGCGGUAAUACGUAGGUGGCAAGCGUUAUCCGGAUUUACUGGGUGUAAAGGGCGUGUAGGCGGGGAGGCAAGUCAGAUGUGAAAACCACGGGCUCAACCUGUGGCCUGCAUUUGAAACUGUUUUUCUUGAGUGCUGGAGAGGCAAUCGGAAUUCCGUGUGUAGCGGUGAAAUGCGUAGAUAUACGGAGGAACACCAGUGGCGAAGGCGGAUUGCUGGACAGUAACUGACGCUGAGGCGCGAAAGCGUGGGGAGCAAACAGGAUUAGAUACCCUUGUAGUC
rnacentral:rRNA from 1 species